rnacentral:misc_RNA from 1 species
UCCGGUUUAACACCGGCAGUCUCUUUAGAGUCCCCAACUUAAUGAUGGUAACUAAAGACAAGGGUUGCGCUCGUUGCGGGACUUAACCCAACAUCUUACGACACGAGCUGACGACAGCCAUGCAGCACCUAUCUCCAUGUCCCCGAAGGGAACCCCACAUCUCUGUGGCUGUCAUGGGAUGUUAAGUCCAGGUAAGGUUCUGCGCGUUGCUUCGAAUUAAACCACAUACUCCACCGCUUGUGCGGGCCCCCGUCAAUUCCUUUGAGUUUUAGCCUUGCGACCGUACUCCCCAGGCGGGAUACUUAAUGCGUGAGCUUCGGUACUCAGAGGGUUAACUCUCCGAGCACCUAGUAUCCAUCGUUUACGGCGUGGACUAC